rnacentral:tRNA from 1 species
GCGGGUGUAGCUCAAUGGCAGAGCCUUAGAUUUCCAAUCUAAUGACGGGAGUUCGAUUCUCCUCACCCGCU